AUUUCUUACAGUUCAGGUGUGUCUCUAAUCGUUACCUGACCUAGCCUACUUAUUUCCUCACCUUGAAAUGUGGAGGCGGAAGAUUUCCUAACAAUUUGCAAUUUCUCAACAAUGCUGUAUGCUAAUCGGAUUAGAUCUGUUUCUGUAACUGUAUAUAAGAAAAGCUCACUACAUUCAGAGCCACAUUACAACAACCAUCUGCAAGACAGUCUGCUGAAGUUGAAGACUUGGAGGUGUGAUCACUGUAACCAUGCUGAAGAUAGUAUUUGUGCUUGGAUGCCUCCUGAGCCUCGCUCUGGCUCUUCCCAUGGACAUCGAGCACAAGCGACUUGCUCGUUCAAGGUCUGGCUCUGACUCUGAUUCAAAUGAGCUUUCUCGUCAACAGUGGAUGCAGCUCCUUUUUCUCUACUUACAAAGACUACCUACUGCAGCUACAACUACACCUACAACUACACCCACUACUACUACUACUACAACUCCAACUACUACUACUACUACUACUACUACACUGGCUACUACUGCUGCUCCAGUUGCUACAACCUAAAGUCACAAAUGUACCCAGACAUCAAUAAGUGAAUGUAACCCAUUAUUAUAUGAAUUUCUGACAUCAGUUUUAUUUUGUAUGGGUUUAUCAUGAUUUGUUUAAAUUUAAGUGAUGUCUUAACUAGAGUGUUUUCACAGACAUUAUUUGAGUUCAAAUAAACAUGUGGAUCGAAA